rnacentral:rRNA from 1 species
ACGCACGCUGGCGGCGUGCCUAAUCCAUGCAAGUAGAACGCUGAAGGAGGAGCUUGCUUCUCUGGAUGAGUUGCGAACGGGUGAGUAACGCGUAGGUAACCUGCCUGGUAGCGGGGGAUAACUAUUGGAAACGAUAGCUAAUACCGCAUAAUAGUAGAUGUUGCAUGACAUUUGCUUAAAAGGUGCAAUUGCAUCACUACCAGAUGGACCUGCGUUGUAUUAGCUAGUUGGUGGGGUAACGGCUCACCAAGGCGACGAUACAUAGCCGACCUGAGAGGGUGAUCGGCCACACUGGGACUGAGACACGGCCCAGACUCCUACGGGAGGCAGCAGUAGGGAAUCUUCGGCAAUGGACGGAAGUCUGACCGAGCAACGCCGCGUGAGUGAAGAAGGGUUUCGGAUCGUAAAGCUCUGUUGUAAGAGAAGAACGAGUGUGAGAGUGGAAAGUUCACACUGUGACGGUAUCUUACCAGAAAGGGACGGCUAACUACGUG